rnacentral:rRNA from 1 species
AUGUUGCGUAUGAAGUGUGGUCUGAAAGAUAGCGUAUAUGUCACUAUAGAAGAAAAGGUUGAUAUGUUCUUGUUAGUGGUUGGACAUGGUAUUAAAAUGAGAGUGUUCCCUGGCACUUACAAGCGUUCUUUAGAGACUACCAGUAGGCACUUCUCGAAUGUGUUAACAACCAUUCUUUCCAUAACUGGGGAGUUUAUCAAGCUUCCUGAUCCUUCCAUUGAACCUCCGGAUGAUUACAAAUGGAAGUGGUUACGAAAUGCCUUGGGAGCACUAGAUGGGUGUCAUGUUGAUGUUUCUGUCGUUGUGGCUGACGAAGGGAGGUAUACGAACAGAAAACAAGAUAUCACCACUAACAUGCUUGGUGUUGUUGACUGGAACAUGAAAUUUCUUUAUGUUCUACCUGGCUAG